rnacentral:rRNA from 1 species
AUAAACGCUGGCGGCGUGCUUCAGGCAUGCAAGUCGAACGGAUCAUGGCCUUCGGGUCAUGGUUAGUGGCGGACGGGUGAGUAACACGUAAGCAACCUGCCCGGAAGUGGGGAAUAACUGACCGAAAGGUUGGCUAAUACCGCAUGUGAUGGGCCUUCCCUGGAGGGUCCAUUAAAGGCGAAAGUCGCUUCUGGAGGGGCUUGCGGUCGAUUAGCUUGUUGGUGGGGUAAUGGCCUACCAAGGCUGCGAUCGAUAGCUGGUCUGAGAGGACGGUCAGCCACACGGGGACUGAGAUACGGCCCCGACUCCUACGGGAGGCAGCAGCUAGGAAUCUUGGGAAUGGGCGAAAGCCUGACCCAGCAACGCCGCGUGGGCGAUGAAGGCCUUCGGGUCGUAAAGCCCUUUUGCAGGGGAAGAUGAUGACGGUACCCUGCGAAUAAGCCACGGCUAACUACGU